GGUCUAAUAGUGUAGAGGUUAUCACACGGGAUUUUGAUAACUAAUCCACCCCCCGGGCCAAAUAUCUCCUUCCCGUAACCCAGGUUCGAGUCCUGGUUAGACCU
rnacentral:tRNA from 1 species